rnacentral:rRNA from 1 species
UCAGGCCUAACACAUGCAAGUCGAACGGCAGCACAGGAGAGCUUGCUCUCUGGGUGGCGAGUGGCGGACGGGUGAGGAAUACAUCGGAAUCUACUUUUUCGUGGGGGAUAACGUAGGGAAACUUACGCUAAUACCGCAUACGACCUACGGGUGAAAGCAGGGGAUCUUCGGACCUUGCGCGAUUGAAUGAGCCGAUGUCGGAUUAGCUAGUUGGCGGGGUAAAGGCCCACCAAGGCGACGAUCCGUAGCUGGUCUGAGAGGAUGAUCAGCCACACUGGAACUGAGACACGGUCCAGACUCCUACGGGAGGCAGCAGUGGGGAAUAUUGGACAAUGGGCGCAAGCCUGAUCCAGCCAUACCGCGUGGGUGAAGAAGGCCUUCGGGUUGUAAAGCCCUUUUGUUGGGAAAGAAAUCCAGCUGGUUAAUACCCGGUUGGGAUGACGGUACCCAAAGAAUAAGCACCGGCUAACUUCGUGCCAGCAGCCGCGGUAAUACGAAGGGUGCAAGCGUUACUCGGAAUUACUGGGCGUAAAGCGUGCGUAGGUGGUCGUUUAAGUCCGUUGUGAAAGCCCUGGGCUCAACCUGGGAACUGCAGUGGAUACUGGGCGACUAGAAUGUGGUAGAGGGUAGCGGAAUUCCUGGUGUAGCAG